CCUUAUCACACCUUCGUCACAGUGACAUUAAAACACUGGACGGAAUUCUGAUAAGGGU
rnacentral:pre_miRNA from 1 species